CUUGCUGCCUUGCUGUUCUCCCUGUCCUACCUGCAGCCCGCGGUCUGGGCUAGCUGGAGGGCGGUGGUGGAGGGCACUGAGGGUCACUAGUGAGACUGGGAACCUUGGGAUCCCCCAUCACAAUCCUGCCUGCCAGCUGGAGGGAAGAGCUGGGUGCUUCCCCACCCCUAAGGGGGUGCCCCCUCACCUCCUGGACCUGCAUGCACCGGAGCCGGUGGGCACCCCUCUGAUGGGCACACUUGACGCAAAAGUUUGAUGUGCCCCAGUGCCUCUGGGGGCAGAGGGAUGCUCCUCAGGGCAGCCUCCUCUGCUGGACACUGGGCACAGCUCACAGCAUGCUGCCCGGCAGCGUCUGUGCCAGCUGCCUCACAAGACGUCCCCAAGCAGCUGGGUGAGCACGUGCUGCCCGCUGGCCUCAGGCAGACUGGGGAGACUGGGAGCUGGUCGUACUGGACUGGGAAGGCUCUGGUGUGGAAGCGCCUAACUCACUGGCAGAGCCUGCACCGGGUGCCUGGGCUGGGAGCCGGCCAGGGAGCCUGGGUGGUGAGAGCUCACCUGUCCGUGGAGCCCGGGUGCAGCUGCACGGCUUCAGCCUGGCGGGGAAGGUGCACGCGGGUCUGUGGCCAGGUUUGGGUCGGGGGUGGAGGCGGCCAGCCCGAAGGACAGCCAGGUUCCUGGAGUCCCCCUGAGGCCGUGCCAGCAGCAUGGACAGUGCCAGGAGGCGGCAAGAGGGGCCUGCCUGCAUCAUGAGGGCUCGUGCUGGACCGAGGCCGUGGCUAGCAGGAGGAGCAGGCCCCUGAGCCAGGCCGGGCUGCGCAUGGGACCAGCGCGCUCGGUGCCUGGAGCUGCUGGAGAGGCGCUGCUCGGCUCCUGGAAAGACAGGAAUGAAGCAGGCAGGAAGAUGGCCCUGGGGAUGGGCCCUGGUAGAGGUGGGAGGCUGCAGGAGCUGGCCUACCUGAGGGAGUCCGUGGGGCCAAAGGCAGUGAGCGUCGUGACGCCGAUGGCAGGGCCGUGCAUCUGCCCAAGACUCACCACCACCCCGGGAGUGGGGCUGAGCCACGAACACAUCUGCCGCCCAAGCCGUGUGCAGUGGAGUGUCUUGGUUCGGCACUCGCCGCUGGAGCCAGGGCCCAGCUCCCGUGCUCAAUAAAGGAGACCGGCCCCGUGU